rnacentral:rRNA from 1 species
GCAUUUGAAAGUGGCAAUCUAGAGUCUAGUAGAAGAGGGGUAGAAUUCCAGGUGUAGCGGUGAAAUGUGUAGAGAUGUGGAGGAAUCCCGGUGGAGAAGGCGUCUCCCUUGACGAAGACUGACGCUCAGGUGAGAAAGCGUGGGGAGCACACAGGAUUAGAUCCCCUGGUAGUCCACGCUGUAAGCGAUGUCGAAUUGGAGGUUGUGUCUUUGAGGCGUGGCUUCCGGAGCUAACGCGUUAACUCUACCCCCUGGGGAGUACGGCCGCAAGGUUAAAAUUCAAAUGAAUUGACGGGGGCCCGCCCAAGCGGUGGAGCAUGUGGUUUAAUUCGAUGCAACGCGAAGACCCUUACCUAUUCUUGACUUCCAGGGAACUUUGCAGAGAUGGACUUUUGCCUUCGGGAACUCUGAGACAGGUGGUGCAUGGCUGUUGUCAGCUUGUGUUGUGAAAUGUUGGGUUAAGUUCCGCAACGAGCGCAACCCUUAUCCUUUGUUGCCAGCGAUUCGGUCGGGAACUCAAAGGAGACUGCCGGUGAUAAACCGGAGGAAGGUGGGGAUGACGUCAAGUCAUCAUGGCCCUUACGAGUAGGGCUACACACGUGCUACAAUGGCUCAUACAAAGAGAAGCGACCUCGCGAGAGCAAGCCGACCUCAUAAAGUUCGUCGUAGUCCGGAUUGGAGUCUGCAACUCGACUCCAUGAAGUCGGAAUCGCUAGUAAUCGUAGAUCAGAAUGCCACGGUGAAU